GAAGGUAUAGCUCAAGUGGUAGAGCACAUUCUUAGCAUGCAUGAGGUCAUGGGUUCAAUCCCCAGUACUUCCU
rfam:Camelus ferus unplaced genomic scaffold scaffold651, whole genome shotgun sequence.